AGGGGUGGCCGAGCGGUUUAAGGCGGCGGCCUUGAAAGCCGUUGUGGGGUAGCCCCCCACCGUGGGUUCGAAUCCCACCCCCUCCGCCA
rnacentral:tRNA from 1 species